rnacentral:rRNA from 1 species
UGAGGAAUCUUGCGCAAUGGGGGAAACCCUGACGCAGCAACGCCGCGUGAGUGAGGAAGGCCUUCGGGUCGUAAAGCUCUGUCGGGUGGAAAGAAAUGUAUAAGUGUUAAUAGCAUUUAUGCUUGACGGUACCACCAAAGGAAGCACCGGCUAACUCCGUGCCAGCAGCCGCGGUAAUACGGGGGGUGCAAGCGUUGUUCGGAAUCAUUGGGCGUAAAGAGCGUGUAGGCGGCCGGACAAGUCAGAGGUGAAAGCCCUGGGCUCAACCCAGGAAGUGCAUUUGAAACUGUGCGGCUAGAGUAUGGGAGAGGGAAGUGGAAUUCCUGGUGUAGAGGUGAAAUUCGUAGAUAUCAGGAGGAACACCGGUGGCGAAGGCGACUUCCUGGCCCUAUACUGACGCUGAGACGCGAGAGCGUGGGGAGCAAACA